rnacentral:rRNA from 1 species
AAAUUGAAGAGUUUGAUCAUGGCUCAGAUUGAACGCUGGCGGCAGGCCUAACACAUGCAAGUCGAACGGUAACAGGAAGAAGCUUGCUUCUUUGCUGACGAGUGGCGGACGGGUGAGUAAUGUCUGGGAAACUGCCUGAUGGAGGGGGAUAACUACUGGAAACGGUAGCUAAUACCGCAUAACGUCGCAAGACCAAAGAGGGGGACCUUCGGGCCUCUUGCCAUCGGAUGUGCCCAGAUGGGAUUAGCUAGUAGGUGGGGUAACGGCUCACCUAGGCGACGAUCCCUAGCUGGUCUGAGAGGAUGACCAKCCACACUGGAACUGAGACACGGUCCAGACUCCUACGGGAGGCAGCAGUGGGGAAUAUUGCACAAUGGGCGCAAGCCUGAUGCAGCCAUGCCGCGUGUAUGAAGAAGGCCUUCGGGUUGUAAAGUACUUUCAUCGGGGAGGAAGGGAGUAAAGUUAAUACCUUUG